CCUGGGUUUAGGUGUCAACACGGACCCUCCAAGUGGCAGGUUAGCCUCCCUGACGGACAAAAUUGGUGUUCACAGGAACUACAGUCAGGGCCCUGGCAUGACCGCUUCUGAAAUGGAGGGUGGAGAAAGGAAAGGAGAUCCCGGCUCUGUCCGCUUGGUACCAGGAUGUCAGGCCCUGUCCCUCUGCAGGGGCAAACAGAGGCCACAAGUCAGCAGGAAGCCCUGGAGCCCUGGAAUCCAUCUCAGCACGGCAAUGAUUCCCAGGAGCCUGGAGCGUCUGCUGGAAAUCUCAGGAUUCAUCACACAGAAGGCCCACAGGCAUUAAUUAAGAGGCCAAGUUUACAGCUACCUGCAAGCAGCAGGCCUUUCCUCUAGGGAACAAAGUGGCACCUGGAUCUAGCCAUCACCUCCACCUUGUUCCAGAGGUGUCUAUAUAGUUCCUCAUUUCUUGGCUACCUCUCUUUUUGAGGAGGAGAGGGACCACAGGAUGUCCAGGGCCCAGUGCCUCCUCGGGGACAGCAGAGAAAAAAGUCUUGCCACUCAGAUUGGAGAGUCUGGGCUUCUGGGCCAGAUCUGUUUCAACAAACAUCAAGGACUCUCAGGAUUGUUCUGGGCGUGCAAAACUGAUUACAACAAACGCCGGUGAGAAGAACAGGCCAGCGGCUGGCACUCAAAGCGGCUUUUGUUACACAAGGACGAGGCUUGUAACUGUGUUUGCGAUAACAGAUCUGGCCUCCAUUCAGGAAGAACAUAGCAUCCAGCUGCCCCACACGUCUGCUGACCGGGAAAGGAGAGAGAACUGGUGACUCCUCCAGCCACCCAGGCACAGAGAGUGGGGGGUCUCAAGAGUCACCUCGUGGAGGAGGGGUGGUUGUCACCGUUGACUCAAAACCCUUGAUACUGAGAAGUGGGAAAGUAGGAAGUCACAGGCAGGUGAGAGAUUAUCAAGAUUAAAACCUGAAUCAACACAGUAA